UUUCUCCUUCUCCUUCUCCUCCUUCUCCUUCUUCCUCUCUUCCCGUGCACUUCCUUCUCCCUUCUCCUCUGCGCUGCCUUCGCCUCUCCCCACAAGCAGCAGCCUCCGCGUUCGCUUCUCCUCGCAAGCAGCAGCAAGGCUGCGUUUUCCUCCCAUUCUGCAGUAAAGGCGGCCGCUACCAGCAGCCACGGCCAGGCGCGUGGUGUCCCUCUCAACCGUCUAGUCUUUACUCCUUUUCUUGUUACCCCAUUGUUCCCAGUUUAUAAGAGGAAAGUAGACCCUUAGUUGGGUGAUUUUUGUAACUUGUGGUCGUGCAGUGACGCUUACAGCAGGAGGAUCAUAACUUGGCAUGACAGGUAUAGGAGCUUCUUUUGCUUUGCAUUGGGGAAAGAGCGGAGUACGAACGUAACAAUUGUAU